UCUUGUGGUUCACACACAUAAAUCAUUCAGGAUUUUCUUGGGUGCACACAUUACUCCAUAGAAUUCUCAUUCAGAAUGUUUUCAGGCCUACGAGGACAUGUCAGAGCUGUGGUGCGAAUGAAGCUUGCCAAACAAGAUCACAGAUCAAAUAUUUACUGCAAGCCACCUAAGGAAAAGAUUGGACCUGGGCAGACAGUGUUUACCAUGUCCAUCUUUGCACUUGGUCUCCUGGUCCCUGCUGGCUGGAUCAUGUACCACAUCCCAGUAUACCGGCAAACACCACCUUCACAAGUCUGACCUUAUGGACCACUUACAUCACUCACCCUUUGCCACAUCACAGAGCUUUUUUGUUUACUGAAAUAAAAUGCAACUUGUCAUGUGACAAAAUCUAAA